UUAUGGUACACAGCGUGAGGGAGAGAGAAAGACAGAACGAUAGGGAGAGAGAGAAAGACAGAAUGUUACAGAAAAGAAAACAUGAGGGUGAAAGAAAGGGGACGGAAGAAGGAAAAGAGGGUGGCGACGAAGGUGGCGAUGACAGAUAAGGAGACGAGAUCGAGAGAGAAGAGGAGACAGAAAUGUAUUCUACAAGUUCGACAACACCUAUCAGGUCCCAUCUCACAGAUCCAUUUUAACUCUUCAAUCUUCAAGUAUUUCGUGCAAUUGGAAGUUUUCAUCUUCGGGGUAUGGAGAGUGUUGGUUCAGAACAGAUAAGAGGAAGGAGAAGCCAGUGGAGGAUGAGAACAAGAUCAAGUGCAAAAUGAAGACUAUGAAUUGCAAGUUCUAGAGAAAACUUAUGCUGCUGCAGAUACAUUUGGUUUAGACAGUUUUCAGGCUGUUGUUAUGAAACUUCAACGAAACCAUUUAGAUUUUCAUGCUAAAAAUAGAGUAGAGAAGACAAAAUGCUUAGUCCACAGGCCUUUUUUUUUUCCUGGAGGAUAUCAGCAGGUCAGGUUUCUCUUAUAUUAAAAAAAUUCCGUCUUCUACUUAUGCCAAUGUUUCAUUUUAAUCCACUGUGAAGUAUUCUCACUAUAUUUUUGCAGAUAGUGGUGUCAAUUUCCUUGGUGGGUAUAUUUAUAGAUCUAAGAAUAUGAACAUGUUUUGCUCAGGAAAUGGAAAAGAGAUUCAAGGCCUGUUUGCUGUUUCAUCUAAUUUUUUAUUUUUGAAGUUUUUAGAACUGGACUGCUAUAUCUAUAUAGUAGUAUUGCAAACUUGGAUGUAAUGAAAUACUUUAAAAGUUACAUAAUUCAACUAACUAUUUUGGUUUAUUUUUACUGCCAGUAGAGCUCUAAAAUCGCCAUGGUGGACUAUGGGCUGCAAAUAUUAGGUUCUGUUAAUAAUUCACAUGCUCAAAGAUGAGGGAGUGUAAGUAGAGGACGGAGUGUUCCAACACCAAAAGCAGAUCUCCGGAGGCUUGGCAAGGAUUGUUAUGAUGUUCUUAGAGGAGAAUAAGAAUGUUGCUGGUUUGACAACUAAGAUUAAGAAUCGAAAUGUUACAUCUUUGCUUAGCCAUGAUUGCAAUGUUCAAAGGAGGCACAAAAAGGUAUGAAAGUUUCCUGUUAUCACAUAAAAUUGCUAGGUAAAAGUAUUAUUUCUAAGGAAAUGCUUUCAUAGUAGUGUAUUUUAAUUCUCGGUGGGAAUAUUUGAGUAUGAUAUAAUAUAUAGCUUUAGUGCAUAUUAUCUAGGAUGCAGUUACUUUUGUUUUGACAUUAGCUUAUAACUGCUAUCUGCUUCAUAAAAAAUAUCAAACUAUUAUGUAUUGUCUUCUGAUAAAUUGGUGGCCUCUGCUUUUGCUGGGUUUACCCAUCACUCUUCGGUAAACAAAGCUCAAAGCUACAAGAAUGCACAUUUAUGUCAGAAAAAGCGGUCAAAUUAUCAGGCUGGCGUAGCAAAGAUGCUCGCCCUGGGAGAGGAACUGAGAAAUACCAAUUUAGAAAAGAUACCGAAUAUAGUAGGCCGAUUCUGCUGUUAGAAGAGUGUCUAGCGAAGGAAAGAGAAGAUGGUGACAAGUGCAAGGUAGAGUGGUUCGGAAGAAGAGGAGAGGAAAGAGAGGCCAGUGGAGGGUGAGAACAAGAUCAAGCACAAAAUGAAGACUGCUUUAUAGUUGGUUGCGUUGUAGAAAAACUUAUGCUGAUAAGUGAAUUUAUUUUACCAUUUUUGAACAAUACUGGAAUAUUCCUUUACUUUUGUUGGUUUUUUUUCACAGUUUAAGUGGGUUGUAAAGUAACUUUUUUGUUGAAACAUGAAACUCUAUUGUAGUGUUGUGCAUUUCUUUGGUUCAGGGGAGGCUUACUCUUCAGAAGUAGUGCAAGCUGAGUUUAUUUUGAGAGUA